AAAUAAGCCAAGUUUGUGAGUGUGCCUUGUACUGUUUUUUUUCUUUUCUAUUAAAAUUGAGCUUUUGUUCUCAUUGUAUGAUUUAUGUUUUGCCUGUAGAUGAUUUUUGGAGGCUUCAUUAAAAAUAUAGUGUCUACCUCUGCUUUUGAUACAGUGCUUUUGGUAUGCUACCACAAAGACAUUUGUGUGCUGAACACGAGGCAAGGAAGGGUAGCCAGAAUUAUCCCAGGACAGCUGGAUACGCAUCAAUUCCUCAAGGAAGAGUGAAACACAGUCUGGUGUGACAAGAGAAGAAGUCUGCACUCUCAGGAAUAAAAUUAAAUAAGCAGUCUUUUGCUGCUAAACGCCUUGCUUUCACCCUUUCAUUAGAAGGGGGAAUAUUUGCUGUUCCAGUUGAGAAACUGCAAACAGUGGAAUGUUUUUUUCCUGACAUGCUGUUCAGCUUCUUUCUGUCAUGAGAAGGUUACUAAGAGAGAUAUUAUUCCUCCAUUGAUCAUCAAAAAAGCUCUUUACUGAUACCUAUCAGUUAAAAUGUAUUGGGGGUGAUCUUUAUUAUGAUGGAAAAGAAGACGAGUCACAGAUGAAAAAUAUUUUUUUUUCUUGGGGUUGAAUCUUUGUACAGAUAAAAAAUGAAACCCCUGACCUUUUAACUUUCUUUUUGAUAAAACGUAAUGCAAAACACUGUCCAAAUACAACAACAGUAAAGUUAAACACCAUUUGUGGCUGCCACAUUAAUUUGCUUUGUGAGGCCCUUUUCCACAAAAAGCUCUUAAUGUGGAAUCCAUUCAUACUAGGGAGAGCCUCACACACACAAAAUCUAUAUGUACUACGCAUUUAUAAGUUUAAGAUUAGGUGAAUUGUGGGAAAAAAUGAAUGCAAAUAUGAUUAAUUAACAAAAUAUUGUAAUGAUUUGCUUCACUCUUUUAGACAAUUUAUGAUGAAUUUAAAAGGUUAAUAGAAA
rnacentral:lncRNA from 1 species